rnacentral:rRNA from 1 species
GUCCACGCCCUAAACGGUGGGUACUAGGUGUGGGGCCCGUACGGGUUCUGUGCCGCAGGGAAACCAUUAAGUACCCCGCCUGGGGAGUACGGCCGCAAGGUUGAAACUCAAAGGAAUUGACGGGGGCCCGCACAAGCGGUGGAGCAUGUGGUUUAAUUCGACGCAACGCGAAGAACCUUACCUGGGUUUUGACAUGUUAGUGGUAAGGACCCCGAAAGGGCGAUGAUCCUGGGGCAACCUAGGAAGCUAACACAGGUGCUGCAUGGCUGUCGU